CACGUACUCCCUCCAUCCGAAAAUACUUGUCAUCAAAAUUGAUAAAAAGAGAUGUAUCUAGAACUAAAAUACAUCUAGAUACAUUCCCUUUUAUCCAGUUUGAAGAUAAAUAUUUUCGGACGGAGGGAGUAGCUC
rfam:Triticum aestivum genome assembly, contig: Triticum_aestivum_CS42_TGACv1_scaffold_131703_2BL